AAGGCUUGCAUGCGACGCAAUAAUCGGAAAACAUCGCUAACAACCGCAGCAGUAUUAGGCGGAAGCGCUCCAACGACGUGGUCGAACAUGGUCAACUGCGAACUGAGGCGCUGACGGAACAAGGAUUCGACGGUAAUGAACCAAAGUUCAGAG
rnacentral:lncRNA from 1 species